UACGAAGGGGGCUAGCGUUGCUCGGAAUCACUGGGCGUAAAGCGCACGUAGGCGGGUCGUUACGUCGGGGGUGAAAUCCUGGAGCUCAACUCCAGAACUGCCUUCGAUACUGGCGAUCUUGAGUCUGGGAGAGGUGAGUGGUACUCCGAGUGUAGAGGUGAAAUUCGUAGAUAUUCGGAAGAACACCAGUGGCGAAGGCGGCUCACUGGCCCGGUACUGACGCUGAGGUGCGAAAGCGUGGGGAGCAAACAGG
rnacentral:rRNA from 1 species